UUUAGAAGUUCAGCCACUACGUAAAAAUUGGAGUUGGACUGUCAUUAAAGAUUCAUAUAUUUCAUUAUCAUAAAUAAAUUUAAAAUUGGAAUUAGUUUGUCACGUAAAAAUUCAUAAAGAUCUAAAAGUUACGAUCGUGAAUGCCAAAACGAAUAUCCUUAUUGAUAUGGAUGUAAAUAUUUCGUCAAUUGAUUGUGUUUGGCAGUUAUUAAGUUCUUUAGAAAACACCUUUUUCUGUAGUGGAACUGGAUACGAUGACAAAAAUGUUCAGUCACUUGUACAGGUAUAUUAUUGCCGGAGGAAAGAUAUAAAAGAAAAGUUGUGGAGUACAGAUGCAUUACUUGUCGAAAAUUGAGACGUUUGAUCCAAAACGUAAGACGGAAACAACAAAUAAUGAAGCUCGAUGGAUGAGUUUUAAGCAUCGCUAUAUUUUACAACACAGAAAGCUCAAUCGAGUUGUUCACACGGUAUAUUGUCAGUCGACGAAAUAGCACUUAGCGAAGGCAUUGCAUUAAACCGUAAAACAUUACAACUGGAAGGUUUUGUAGACCUUGGGGAAUACACGCCUGACCAUUUAAGAUACACUAGAGCUGACCAUGCGUUGGUUUUUAUGUUUCAACCCUUUCAGGGCAAGUGGGUGCAAGUUGUUGGCCAAUUUUUAAGUAAAGAUUCAGUGACUAGUGAAAUUCUUCAGAAACUACUUUUAGAAUGUACAAUUCUGCUUGAGAAAGCUGGUUUUUAUGUGGACGGAAUUGUAUCAGAUGCAGCACAAUGGAAUCGCGGUGUAUGGAAAUUGCUCGGCAUACAAGAUGGCAACUAUAGUUGUGAGCACCCAUAUAAUUUUUCAAGACGUCUAUGGUUUUUUUCGGAUUUCCCUCAUUUAUUGAAAAAUUUUAGAAAUAAAAUUAUG